rnacentral:sRNA from 1 species
CCGGGGAUUGAGUCUUUUGGCUGUCCGUUCGUUUUCCUCUUCACCUUUCUGCUUGUACAAUAGGUUUUGUAGAAAUCCAGUGCUAUUCUUAGUCGACCGUGAGGACGGCUUUCGGGGGAACCCGGCCGGUAAGAUUAAGUGCAUUGGAGUAUCUGCUGAAAUCUGUAUCGUAUAAGGAGGAUAAGGGUAGGGCAGAGACGUAUGGGCCUGUCUAUGGAUGUGACUGUCAUGCGCUU